CGCAUCUGUGCAUGCAGCAUAUCAAUAAGCGGAGGAAAAGAAACUAACAAGGAUUCCCCUAGUAACGGCGAGUGAAGCGGGAAGAGCUCAAAUUUGAAAUCUUAAAGGGUUUCCCUUUACGAAUUGUAGUUUAAAGAAGUGUUUUCUGUUGAGGUUUUGGUAAAAGUUCUUUGGAAUAGGACAUCAUAGAGGGUGAGAAUCCCGUAUUUGACCUUUACUUUCAACUUUGUGAUACACUUUCAAAGAGUCGGAUUGUUUGGGAAUGCAAGUCCAAAAUGGGUGGUAAAUUUCAUCUAAAGCUAAAUAUUGGCGAGAGACCGAUAGCGAACAAGUACCGUGAGGGAAAGAUGAAAAGAACUUUGAAAAGAGAGUUAAACAGUACGUGAAAUUGUCAAAAGGGAAGCGUUUGACACCAGUGUUGUUUUUCUGAAAAUCAAUUAAAGAACUGUUUAUGCUAAGCUUGUUUAGACUUUAUCAGCUAAUCUGCUUAGUUUUGAGCUUUUCUUUAAUGCACUUUUCAGUUAACAAGUCAACAUCAAUUUCUUUUGCUGUAAAAAAGCUUGAGGAAGGUGGCUUGAGAUUCGUCUUAAGUGUUUAUAGCCUCUUGCCUAUGCAGUCGGAGAGAUUGAGGUCUGCAGCGUAGAUCCUUCGGGGCUAGAUACACUUUGUGCUAAGUUGUAGCAUUUUAUAGACAACUUGUUGACUAUGAUUUGUCUUGUAGCUUACUCGCUUAUGUUAUUUUACCUACGCUUAGGAUGUUGAACUCUAUCACACACAG
rnacentral:rRNA from 1 species